CCUACGGGAGGCAGCAGUGGGGGAUAUUGCACAAUGGGGGAAACCCUGAUGCAGCGACGCCGCGUGGGUGAAGAAGUAUUUCGGUAUGUAAAGCCCUAUCAGCAGGGAAGAAAGAAGACGGUACCUGACUAAGAAGCCCCGGCUAACUACGUGCCAGCAGCCGCGGUAAUACGUAGGGGGCGAGCGUUAGCCGGAUUCACUGGGUGUAAAGGGAGCGUAGACGGCCGUGCAAGCCAGGAGUGAAAGCCCGGGGCCCAACCCCGGGACUGCUGGUGGAACUGUGCGGCUGGAGUGCGGGAGGGGCAGGCGGAAUGCCUGGUGUAGCGGUGAAAUGCGUAGAUAUCAGGAGGAACACCGGCGGCGAAGGCGGCCUGCUGGACCGCGACUGACGUUGAGGCUCGAAAGCGUGGGGAGCGAACAGGAUUAGAUACCCGAGUAGUC
rnacentral:rRNA from 1 species